rnacentral:rRNA from 1 species
CUACGGGUUGCACCAGUGAGGAAUAUUGCACAAUGGAGGGAACCCUGAUGCAGCAACGCCGCGUGGAGGAUGACGCAUUUCGGUGUGUAAACUCCUUUUAUAUGUCAAGAAAAUGACGGUAGCAUAUGAAUAAGCACCGGCUAACUCCGUGCCAGCAGCCGCAGUAAUACGGAGGGUGCAAGCGUUACUCGGAAUCACUGGGCGUAAAGGACGCGUAGGCGGGUUGGAAAGUCAGGUGUGAAAUCCUACAGCUUGACUGUAGAACUGCACUUGAAACUUCUAAUCUAGAGUAUGGGAGGGGGAGAUGGAAUUAGUGGUGUAGGGGUAAAAUCCGUAGAUAUCACUAGGAAUACCUAAAGCGAAGGCGAUCUCCUGGAACAUUACUGACGCUAAGGCGUGAAAGCGUGGGGAGCAAACAGGAUUAGAUACCCUAGUAGUC